UAUACAAAUAAAAUACUAUCAUACAAGUGGAAUACUGGAAAGUCCAGAACAAUGGCUUCUUUAAGGUUUUGCAGUGCGUACAAAUUUUUGUAAAGUAAAGGAACACUCCCGGGUCUGUGAGGGUGGAGCAUGACACAAUAAUUUAGAGAACACCAAAUAUACAAGCUAUGCUCCACCGCUAGGCAAACAUAGAUACUCUUGGGUGUCCACGUUCAGAGGAAAUUUUUAAGGCUAGUUUCACACUAGCGGCAGGGGACUCUGGCAGGCUGUUCCAGCGGGUGAACAGCCUUUUGGAUUCGUCCUGCCGCUAGUUCACGUGUGCCCCUGGACUGCCACUCCGUCCCCAUUGACUAUAAUGGGGGUCGGGGGCGGAGUUCUGACAGUAGCGCACGCCGAGAGGCAGCCGGAUCUUCAAUGCAGCA